UGGGCGGCGGAAUUCAGGAUGGCGGUCGCGUUUCGCGACGCGCUCGCCGUUUGAUAUUUCCGUCGCCGCCUACAGACGUCGCGACCUGUUCGUCGUCGGUCCCUGUUCGAAGGAGUCGCGUUCGAGCUCGUUGUGGGUGCGUUUCGCGCGCACUCCACGGCGAAGUCGCGAUUUUUCUGGCUGACGACGGACAGUACGUAGCGGUGUCCGGCGUCGUUGUCUCGUACACGCGCGCGUCGGUACCGGUCAGCGACGAAUUCUUCGGGCCUCUUUCCGACCCGUCUUGAAACACGGACCAAGGAGUCUAACAUGCGCGCGAGUCGCGGGGUGUCGAACGUUACCACGGUGCGUUCGUUACGUUUGCGAAACCCGUACAUGUGAAAGGCGUAAUGAAAGUGAAAUGGGGAAGAUGGUGUUCCGAGUUCACGUUCCGCGAUCGUCGGUAUCGCGGCCGGACACCCGCAUUCCCGGGGCGUCUCAACGGCCCGUCGCGAACGCGGACAGUCGUCUCUCGGGGCGGCUGUCGAUUUGCGACGAACCGAGGCGCACCUACAGCGUGCACGUUGGUACCCGAAAGAUGGUGAACUAUGCCUGGCCAGGAUGAAGUCAGGGGAAACCCUGAUGGAGGUCCGCAGCGAUUCUGACGUGCAAAUCGAUCGUC
rnacentral:rRNA from 1 species